rnacentral:rRNA from 1 species
GACGAACGCUGGCGGCGUGCUUAACACAUGCAAGUCGAACGGAAAGGCCCUGCUUUUGUGGGGUGCUCGAGUGGCGAACGGGUGAGUAACACGUGAGUAACCUGCCCUUGACUUUGGGAUAACUUCAGGAAACUGGGGCUAAUACCGGAUAGGAGCUCCUGCUGCAUGGUGGGGGUUGGAAAGUUUCGUCGGUUGGGGAUGGACUCGCGGCUUAUCAGCUUGUUUGUGGGGUAGUGGCUUACCAAGGCUUUGACGGGUAGCCGGACUGAGAGGGUGACCGGCAAAAAGGGGACUGAGAUAGGGCACAGAAGGCAAAGGGAGGCAGCAGUGGGGAAUAUUGCACAAUGGGCGGAAGCGUGAUGCAGAAAAGCAGCGUGCGGGAUGACGGCAGUCGGGUUGUAAACAGCUUUCGACUGUGACGAAGAGUGAGUGACGGUAAUGGGUAAAGAAGCACCGGCUAACUACGUG